AUGUGUAGCAGGAGGAGGUCCGUCGCCCACGGCAGCCACCGGCUGCUCCCAGCGGACGCUGAUGACGACGGCGAGUUCACCUGCGACGGCUGUCUGGUCGCCGGCGCCGGGCCCCGGUACCUGUGCGGCCACCCCGUCUGUGGCUUCAAGCUCCACGAGGUAUGCGCGCGCAGCUUCCCCAGGACGCUCAAGUCCAUCGUCCACUCCCAGCACAGGCUGAAACGGCGCGAGAGCGCUGGCGACGGCAACGUCAGGUGCGAGGUGUGCGGGGAGGACGUGAAGGGCGCGUGCUACGGCUGCAGCGCCGGUGGGUGCGCUUCCGCGACAGUCGUGGUGCACCCGCUCUGCGUCCGCCUGCCGCCCGUGGCGCGGGGUCCGGCCGCGGCGCACCCCUGCGGCCACGACGCGUGGCUCGUCAAGAAGUCGGAUGGCGGCGCCGCGCCGGCGUCUAUGUGCGCGGCCUCGAUGUGGCGUGGAGGUACCGGUGCGGGACGUGCCGGGUGGACGUGCACCCGCGGUGCUUCGUGCCGCCCGCGGACCAGUGCCGCGGCGGCGAGGCGGCGGCCGCCUCCAUGGGGAAGCGCUGCUGCCUCGUGUUUGGGCAGGACUUGA
rnacentral:rRNA from 1 species